GCAACUUUAGCUCAGUUGGGAGAGCGUCAGACUGAAGUCCACUUCACUCCUACAUCCUCUGCAGGGAAUGUAAUCUGAAGGUCACCCGUUCGAUCCGGGUAAGUUGCA